rnacentral:tRNA from 1 species
GGGCCAUUAGCUCAGUUGGUAGAGCACCUGACUUUUAAUCAGGGUGUCGCAGGUUCGAUUCCUGCAUGGCCCACCA